rnacentral:rRNA from 1 species
GAUGAACGCUGGCGGCGUGCCUAAUACAUGCAAGUCGAGCGAACAGACGAGGAGCUUGCUCCUCUGACGUUAGCGGCGGACGGGUGAGUAACACGUGGAUAACCUACCUAUAAGACUGGGAUAACUUCGGGAAACCGGAGCUAAUACCGGAUAAUAUAUUGAACCGCAUGGUUCAAUAGUGAAAGACGGUUUUGCUGUCACUUAUAGAUGGAUCCGCGCCGCAUUAGCUAGUUGGUAAGGUAACGGCUUACCAAGGCAACGAUGCGUAACCGGCCUGAGAGAGUGAUGGGCCACACUGACACUGAGACACGGUCCAGGCUCCGACGUGAGGCAGCAGUAGGGAAUCUUCCGCGAUGGGCGAAAGCGUGACGGAGCAACGCCGCGUGAGUGAUGAAGGUCUUCGGAUCGUAAAACUCUGUUAUUAGGGAAGAACAAAUGUAUAAGUAACUAUGCACGUCUUGACGGUACCUAAUCAGAAAGCCACGGCUAACUACGUG